UACAGAGGGUGCAAGCGUUGUUCGGAAUUAUUGGGCGUAAAGGGCGCGUAGGCGGUGCGGUAAGUCUGUCGUGAAAUCUCUGGGCUCAACUCAGAGUCUGCUGCAGAAACUGCCGUGCUUGAGUGUGGGAGAGGUGAGUGGAAUUCCCGGUGUGGCGGUGAAAUGCGUAGAUCUCGGGAGGAACACCUGUGGCGAAAGCGGCUCACUGGACCACAACUGACGCUGAGGCGCGAAAGCUAGGGGAGCAAACAGG
rnacentral:rRNA from 1 species